CCUACGGGUGGCAGUAGUGGGGAAUAUUGGGCAAUGGGCGCAAGCCUGACCCAGCAACGCCGCGUGAAGGAAGAAGGCUUUCGGGUUGUAAACUUCUUUUGUCAGGGACGAAGCAAGUGACGGUACCUGACGAAUAAGCCACGGCUAACUACGUGCCAGCAGCCGCGGUAAUACGUAGGUGGCAAGCGUUAUCCGGAUUUACUGGGUGUAAAGGGCGUGUAGGCGGGACUGCAAGUCAGAUGUGAAAACCACGGGCUCAACCUGUGGCCUGCAUUUGAAACUGUAGUUGUUGAGGACUGGGGAGGCAGACGGAAUUCCUAGGGUAGCGGGGAAAUGCGUAGAUAUUAGGAGGAACACCAGUGGCGAAGGCGGUCUGCUGGACAGCAACUGACGCUGAGGCGCGAAAGCGUGGGGAGCAAACAGGAUUAGAUACCCCGGUAGUC
rnacentral:rRNA from 1 species